rnacentral:rRNA from 1 species
UUUUAAUUAACUUGGUAACGCAGCUAACGCGUGAAGUAGACCGCCUGGGGAGUACGGUCGCAAGAUUAAAACUCAAAGGAAUUGACGGGGACCCGCACAAGCGGUGGAUGAUGUGGAUUAAUUCGAUGCAACGCGAAAAACCUUACCUACCCUUGACAUGUACGGAAGGCCGAAGAGAUUUGGCUGUGCUCGAAAGAGAACCGUAACACAGGUGCUGCAUGGCUGUCGUCAGCUCGUGUCGUGAGAUGUUGGGUUAAGUCCCGCAACGAGCGCAACCCUUGUCAUUAGUUGCUACGAAAGGGCACUCUAAUGAGACUGCCGGUGACAAACCGGAGGAAGGUGGGGAUGACGUCAAGUCCUCAUGGCCCUUAUGGGUAGGGCUUCACACGUCAUACAAUGGUACAUACAGAGCGCCGCCAACCCGCGAGGGGGAGCUAAUCGCAGAAAGUGUAUCGUAGUCCGGAUUGUAGUCUGCAACUCGACUACAUGAAGUUGGAAUCGCUAGUAAUCGCGGAUCAGCAUGUCGCGGUGAAUACGUUCCCGGGUCUUGUACACACCGCCCGUCACACCAUGGGAGCGGGUUUUACCAGAAGUAGGUAGCUUAACCGCAAGGAGGGCGCUUACCACGGUAGGAUUCGUGACUGGGGUGAAGUCGUAACAAGGUAGCCGUAUCGGAAGGUGCC